UACGUAGGGUGCAAGCGUUGUCCGGAAUUAUUGGGCGUAAAGAGCUCGUAGGCGGUUCGUCGCGUCGGCUGUGAAAUCCCGGAGCUCAACUCCGGGUCUGCAGUCGAUACGGGCGGACUCGAGUUCGGCAGGGGAGACUGGAAUUCCUGGUGGUAGCGGUGAAAUGCGUAGAUAUCGAGAGGAACACCAGAGGUGAAGACGGGUUGCUGGGCCGACACUGACGCU
rnacentral:rRNA from 1 species